CAGAGUUAGUAAGUGCUAUUUGGGUAGAAGAAGGAUAUUAUUGUGUUACAUGGUCUGUAACUACUAGCUUUCCACUGCAGUUUUAUAAAAUAGAAAUAUAUCCAUUUUUUAGUUUAUUAAUGGUCUGUUUUGUAAACGCCUUUUCUGGAAAACUAUGCGAUUUGAAGAGGUAUAAUUUUGUAUGAGUCUACGUACAUGCCUUUUGUACGGUUUGUAUAUUUUCAUAAUUAUUUUAAAGCUAUGUUUCUUCAAAAAAAGUUAGUUAAUGUCAUUGUGAUAUACCAUAUUAGAAUGAUAAAACUAUUAUUAUAAUAUUAUUUUUUUGAUCAUCAAAUAGGGUAUGAAUAUGAAACCAAUGAAGAUAAAUUGUCUGUUGUUUCUUGUAUUGACUCUUUUCAGAAGAUAUAUAGAUUUUUAUGAAGUUUUUUAUAAUUAUUGAUUUUGCCACCAUUUUGGUUGCUAAGUGUAGCUAGGAUAAACGUCACAUCCGGCGAAAAGAGCAUAGGCGCAUCCUGUUUUGUAUCCACUUGGUAUAUAUAGUAUCUAUGCGUUGAGGGAGGGGCUGGCUACGCGAGACUAUACGGCAAGUAAAUCUGCGCAUGCUCAUACUCACGUGGUACCACGCGUGAUAGAAACCCUAUAAGAAGGUGCAGUUUGGGUGUGGUCUGUAUUAGACUGAUUGGACUUGUUUGUCUUUUUCAGGUCAUUAGCAAUAAUAUUCAGCAUUCAUGUCAGUCAUGGUUAAUCUGUUAAUAAUAGUCAGUAUUUAUUGUCACGGGAUCAAAGGUAGAGGAUAUAUUACUGGAGGAUCCUGAUAGCACUAGCAUUGGUGACUUGAAAAUUAUUAUUCAUGGAAAGUUUGUUGUUCAUAUUGAAGCCCAGAAACUAAUAUUUAAAGGGAGCCAGACAACUUAGACCAGUACAAAUUAGCUCUGUUUUCCUCUUAAACAGGGCUAUCUGUGAUCAGACAUAUUGGCUUCAUUCCUUCUUUGAGGUGACCUAACUGACAUGGGACUCUUGAAGGUAUUGUGUUUGUAUGAUGGUCCCUUAAUUGGCCAAUAAUACAUGUACAUUGUAUGU